CAUGGCGACUGCCCGGGAUUUCUAGGGAGGAGGCAGCCGCCACCACCAUGUUUUCCUGUUUAUUGUACUUCAAAUAGCUGACCUUGGGAAAGACGCCGCUCCGCUUUGAACAAGGUCUUUCUCUCCGCCCGCCGAAAUGCUAUCAGAGAUUCUGUUAAGCAGUUUUGAACUCUCAUUAGAAAUAUGAUUUAUUAUGUCAUUGGAGUUGUGCAAAGCCAUGGAAGCUGUGUGGCUAAGCUGGAAGCUAACGGAGUGGCAGAGAUACACAGGCCUCAGUGAAGCAGCAAAGAAAAACUACACUGAUGCUAAAUAUACAGCUGGAGCCCUGGGUAACCUCACAACUACAGAAAAGCAAGCCAAGGGUGUGGAUGCUUACCUACAGUAAGAAGUAAGAAGGAAUGGGACAGUCUGUGUUCCUUCAGAGUCUCACUGGAGUGGCUGCAAUGGUGUGUGAAGGAGUCUGAACUGCUCCGGCUGACAAAGGGGAUCAAGGGCUUGGGGAUAAAUGCUCUGAGAAGAACCUCUUCUUUGGUCUUUUAGAACACCCACUGAAGCAGAUCUUCAGUUCCCUAGCCUGCAUGGUUUUAAGUAUCACUGGGAGGCAAAAAUUUGUUUGCUUAACUUGCCUUUGGUUAUGACUUGAAGUGCUCUCAUUUUUUUUUGCUUCUGGGAGGCUGUACUGAGUGGUAGUCCAUUCUCCAAAUUUUGCUGGUAUUGGGUUUUCUAAUACAACACCACUGAAGGUGUGCUAUCUAAAAAGAGAAAUAGACAGGGAUGCAGGAUGUAACCAAAGGCUGAAGAGCAUCAGUGAAAAUAAGUGCCAGGAAGGAAACUCUUCAGUUUAUUGCCCCUGAGCCCUUUUGGGCAGGUGAGGUCCACCUCACUUCCAGCCUGGCAGGAGGUCUUGUGCAGUGCCAGGUAACCCUGGUUGUUCAUAUCAAUGCACAGUCAGCAGGCAAAAGGCAUAUCAGACCCUCAGUGUUUUAAAUUCUGAAUAGAGUAUUUUACAUGGCUGCACCUGGAGAUCUUGCUUCAUUUAUGUAAUAUCUGUAUGCUUUGACUGUAUUAAAGCUGGUUUAUGAUUUUUGUA